UCCGGCAACAGCGAUUAGCGAUAAUCGUUCCGCGCUCGCUAAUGAAUCUGCGCCU
rnacentral:precursor_RNA from 1 species